rnacentral:lncRNA from 1 species
AAGUAUAACUAGAUAGUGUCGUGGUCAUCCUCCUCCUUGGCUUGGAUCGGGUGCCCUUUUUAAAUUGCUGUAGAAAUUCAGGCUUGUGUCGUCUUGCUUCGCUUGGUCUGCAGCGCCUGGCAAUGGCAUUGGCAUGUCUGCUCCGCAGAUCAGCAUUCAGCAAGCCUGUCUCCCUGCUGCGGCCGCAAGAUUCUAUUAUGUGCAUGAUGCAUGUCUCCCUGCUGGUUAUGUGUGACAUGAGAGCACCCUUGUGAUAAACUUGUUUAAUCAAUCAACUGAUAGGCACUGGACCGAGAAUUCAUUCCAGGGUAGGCCGCCGUCGUUCCGGCAAUCUUUCGGCAAAUUCGUUGUGGUUGUGCCGUGGAAAAGUGAUUUCUUACGCUGAAAUCAUCAUUGGUUAGAGACUUGAGUGGAGGAAACGGGGAGAAAGGUGAAUCUGUGCUUGUGCGCCUUUCUCUUCAUCUCUGCUUGGGGAUCAGAUGGAUUUCGCUUAUGCUCUACUUUCAUCGUGUCUUUCUAAUUUGCUCAUGUCACCCAGCCUGAAAAUUUUGACUCCGUUUCGAAAAGUAAAAAAAUAUCAUCUGCAAGCGUUGAACAUGAGCUGCUAUCUAAUUUUUAUUUAGAUGAUAAAAAUAUAAUCCUCCCAGUGUUCUGUAUGAUUCCAUCUCGCGUUGCGAAGUAAAAACCAAAAGUUAUUGAAUGACGUCAGAGACCCCAACGCGGCGAUGCCUGCUUGCAUCCUUCCGCCUUUCAUAUUCAGAUUUACAUUUUCUCAGCCACUUAUAUUUGAAAUGUUCAUGAUUUUAGGAAAAUAUUCACGAAUUUCAAAAAAAACUUAUGAAUUAAUUUUUUUGUUGAAAUGAAAACAAAGUUCGUGAAUUUGAAAAAAUGAUUUUGUGUUCAAAAAAUUUGAAAAAUAUGAAUUUUUCUUCGCAAUUUGAAAAAGUUUACAAUUCAAAAAUAUAUUACAAAUAUUAGAAAUGUUCACAAAAGUAAAUAAAUAAAUGUGUCAUCUUGGAUCGAGUCCCCUUUUAAAUCGCUGUGAAAAUUCAGGGAUGUGUCGUCUUGCUUGGCUUGAUCUGCAGCAGCAUGUCUGCUCUGGGGAUCAGCAAGCCUGUCUGCUGCAGCUGCAAGAUUGUAUUUAUGUGCAUGAUGCAUGUCUCGCUGCUGGUUAUGUGGAAAAAUGAGAGCACUUUCACCUUGUGAUAAACUUGUUUAAUC